rnacentral:lncRNA from 1 species
GAGAGAGUAAUUAAUAUGUUCUGUGUCAUCUAUCAUUAUCUCUCUACUUGAACUAUGGACUUCCUAAACCACUCCAUUUGCAGCAAUUUUUUUCUCCAGCAAAAUCUUUGCCUUCCACUAACACCAAGAUAAACGAUAUCAUCUUCGAGCACUGUAGCAAUUAGCUUCAAAUUAUUGUUAAUAAAUGACGAUGAACCCUAUUUCACAACCGGAAAGAGUAAUCUUUUAAUAUGGCAUCAUCUUUUAAUUGUCUCACCACACACAAUCAUCUGUAAAGAAAAUACAGUCAGCUCUAAACAGGAGAUUUAGGGGUAAUUGUACACCUUGAACAAUUACUUGAAACCUUUUUUGCUGAAAUGGAGACUGAGACACUGCAGGCACAAAUACGUGAGCAUCUAACUGCUGCACGGAUGAGAGCUCAUCUUUUGUGUUUUUUAUAUUUGGGGGUGGGUGAGGGGGAUCACAGGUCUAUCUGGAAUCCCUCAUGUUCUAGAUAGAUGUUACUAGGAUCAAGCAUCCAUUAGAGUUGUUAGCUGAGCAAGACAAGAAAUAUUAGAAAACAAGAUCAUAGACAAGACACAAACUACAUCAAAAUCAGAGUCGUCAUUUAUUACCUAUGCCCAGUAAGAGAUACAAAUAGUUCUCAUCACAUUCUAGGACAUCCCAGAUCAUGAUUUUUUUCUCCUUAAGAAGAUCAUCAAAGGGUGUUAUAGUUGAAAUAGUUAUACCAUACAAGCUAAUUUUGAAUUACUUAAAAAGUUCAUACACUUUGACACCAACUAAUGAUACACCAAGCCCAGGCGCUAAAAAGACAAAUAGAAGUUGGCAAACUGCACAAUGCAGAGUGUCAAGCAUCAACCAAAAGUAGCAAGUCAAAUCUAUGCGUACAGAAGAAUGAUCAACUAACUCUAGAAGCUCAAACAGGUACCCGUCCACCGUCUGCUAGAUUAUUUAUAAUGGAUUCAACCAAAGGCUUCUGCACCACUCUUCUCUUAUGAUGUUUUUUCUUAAAGUGAGUGUCUGGGCACUGCAGACAAGAGCAACUAACCAUUCAGCUUUAAGUGAAGAAGAAAGGGUUAUUGGCACAUGAAAAACAUUUUCUGCAUACUUCCAGCAUAAAAAGGGAACUCACCAAGAUUGAAACUAGCAUAAGUGGUCCAGGAUAUGUAGAUACAAGUCGUUGGAAGGAAACAAUGGCAUUGGUAGAUAUGAAAUGACUGCAUUUAGAUAUCCAUUAACAGGUUUUCAAUAAACAUUUCUUAAGUGGAAUAUCAUGACUUCUUCAAGCCUUACACAUUUUUCAGACCCAGCUCGUUUACCCAGUACUCAGCCCGUGUGACCAACUGCAGAAGGAAAAGAUAGUCUCAACCAUGAUGGUAGCACAUUUAAGAAGUCAAGAGAGAGAACAAUACUACUAUAUAAACAGAAUGAAAGCAUUUUUAACAAGACAAGGUUAUUGCCGACAUACCUUAGGCCGAAUUUCCAAUCCCAGAAAAUUCCUGGAUGAAGAAUUUCUUUUAGCAAGCCACAUAAGAAAUCUCCCACUACCUGCAAUAUCUUUUACUUAGAUCUAAGAAAUUACAAGACCAUAGGACAAAAGAAUCUCAAGGAUAAAGGGAAGAGAAAAAAUUGGAAAUGUGUGAGAUAUAAAUUGAAAGACCCACAAUGUUAUAUGGGGAUGAGGGGUGAAUGUUCGGUCACUAAUAUCAGCAAGAUUAAAGGAAUCUCAAGGAUAAAGGGAAGAGAAAAAAAUUGGAAAUGUGUGAGAUAUAAAUUGAAAGACCCACAAUGUUAUAUGGGGGUGAGGGGUUAAUGUUCGGUCACUAAUAUCCGCAAGAUGAAUGUAAUAUAGAUGUGGAUGACAGAUAAAUGUGCAGUCAUAGACAAAUUAAGAAUGAAUUCAUCUGACAGAGAGCUGCAAACAGAACAUGUAGAGGAUAACAUGAAGGUAGCUUCAAAUGGCACACAGACCUCGAGAUACACUAAUAUGUAGGUGUGACAUGAUUAAAGACAGCAAGUGGAUGGAGUCUGUCUCAAUAAGCUUAAUAUCUCUCAGGCUCAUUACACAUUUAGCUAGAAACACGAAAAAAUGGAAGAAAAUUAUCCAUAUAGUCGACACCAACCAGUUGGGAUUAACGCUUCAUAAUGAAAUGCAUAAUAAAUAAUCCAAAGCUUUACUACUGUUAUAUUUUGUAAUACCUCAGACCUAACGACCCCUUUAAGGCAUAGGCAUAAAUUUCUAUUCAAUUUGUAAAACAAACCACCUUCGUGCAAUUUGAAGCAAGUUUGUUACAGAUAAUUGUUGGACCAUAAUAAACUACUAGAUCUUAAAUGGAAAACACGAAAUUUAAACUGAAUAAAUCAUAAGUAACAAUAGAAUGGUGACGAUAUCAAAGAGCAAGCAGGUUCCUACCACUCCCAAUAUCCACCAUCAGAGGCAAUGAUGCAUCCCCGAACACCUCCUUCCAGUUUGGUACUUCUGCAGGAAUCUUCUCAUGAUAAAUUAAUACAACAAAACAAAAAGAACCAUUUAAGUUGAAAUUUUUAUCCCCACUUGUGGAACUAUACUGGGUAUGUUGUUUCCAUCCUAAUAUUUUUCUUCCAUAGUAAAGUUUCACAAAUUAUAGCUGGGGUCAACAGAACUCAAUAGGAAGAGAGAAGCUUCACAUAUACAAAGAGCCAUAAUAUGUACCAUGAGAGCAUGUCGCAGAGGGUUGACAUGCGGCCUUAUCCGAAGAUUGCCAAUAUCCUAUUACAUCAUUUGAUGAAUGUGAGUAUAAAAAUGCACACAGGUAUUGCAAGAAAAUCACAAUAAUAGACACAAUUUUACCAAUAUAUCACUUUUGCCUUCGACGUCAUUAAAGUUAUAAAAUUUAAUCCAAAUAAAUGACUUCGUCAAUAGCUCAACUUGACCAACUUCUGGCAAUACUUAUGUCACAGGAAUAUUAGAAAAAUAAGGACAACAGCUCAGUUUGACCUAACUUCAGGCAAAAAAAAAAGUUUUUAAGUUUUAUGCACCUGGGUGGAAUAAAACAUAUAUACACAAUCAGGUCAGUCAUAAUGUAAUUACCAUUUA